AGUUGCCAGCGCGUAAUGGGCGGGAACUCUGAAGAGACUGCCCCGGUUAACGGGGAGGAAGGUGGGGAUGACGUCAAGUCCUCAUGGCCCUUAUGUCUGGGGCUACACACGUGCUACAAUGGUAUGUACAACGGGCAGCCAGCCGGCGACGGUGAGCUAAUCCCUUAAAGCAUAUCUCAGUCCGGAUUGGAGUCUGCAACUCGACUCCAUGAAGUUGGAAUCGCUAGUAAUCGUGGAUCAGCAUGCCACGGUGAAUACGUUCCCGGGCCUUGUACACACCGCCCGUCACACCAUGAGAGUUGAUUGUACCCGACGUCAGUGGGCCAACCCUUCGGGGGGGCAGGUGCCUAAGGUAUGGUUGAUAAUUAGGGUGAAGUCGUAACAAGGUAGCCGUUGGGGAACCAGCGGCUGGAUCACCUCCUUUCUAAGGAAAGAAAUAAGAUACAAAAGACAAGUAAUUUUUCGGUCACUAGCCGGUUUUGAGGGAUCAAAGGAGCGAUGCCUUAUUGUUCUUUGGAAAUCUGUUGAAAGAAAAUGA
rnacentral:rRNA from 1 species